AUUGAACGCUGGCGGCAGGCCUAACACAUGCAAGUCGAGCGAGCGGCGGACGGGUGAGUAAUGUAUGGGGAUCUGCCCGAUGGAGGGGGAUAACUACUGGAAACGGUGGCUAAUACCGCAUACUAUCGGAUGAACCCAAAUGGGAUUAGCUAGUAGGUGGGGUAAAGGCUCACCUAGGCGACGAUCCCUAGCUGGUCUGAGAGGAUGAUCAGCCACACUGGGACUGAGACACGGCCCAGACUCCUACGGGAGGCAGCAGUGGGGAAUAGUGCACAAUGGGCGAAAGCCUGAUGCAGCCAUGCCGCGUGUAUGAAGAAGGCCUUCGGGUUGUAAAGUACUUUCAGCGGGGAGGCGUUACCCGCAGAAGAAGCACCGGCUAACUCCGUGCCAGCAGCCGCGGUAAUAC
rnacentral:rRNA from 1 species